AACCUCAGAAGUAUGAUAAAUACAUUUUUAAAAAAAGAAAGUACUCAAAGAGUUGGUGAUUUAUAAGUUUUUUAAAUUGAGCAUCAGACAUAAAUCCUUGAAUUCAGAAAUGCAGUGUGUCAAAAAAAGAAAAAAAUUACUUAAAAGAAGUAACAGUCAAGGUGCAUAACACCAAAGAGAAGGAAAACACUAAAAAUCAGAGGAAAAAAAGAGAUAAUUUACAAAGGUGAGACCAAAAUUUUCACAGCCUGAGUACUUUAAUGUACUUCUUUUCUUUCCCCCCUUGAGUUGGCUUUACACCAUUACUUUUAUUUCUUUAGUAGUUCAUCAAAUUCAAAUUUACAAUUCAUAAAUAUGAAAUAUAGAAGCCAGUGCUUGCCAAUAAAAGAAAAACCAAAAUGCUCAUCAAGAAAAAUAACAACAGACGCAAUAAAGAUGAAUGCAUUUGUGUAUAUUUACUUAGGAAAUAAAGGUUAAAAGAAACAUCUGGCUAUCAAGAGCAAAACUAAAGAAAAGAAACCCUCAUGUUUAAAGACAAGAUUGCUAUCACUCUUUCUUCACUGUUUACUUCACAUUAUCCUUUGCAUAGAUGCAUGAGAUCCUCAAAGGUCAAGUGCAGCAUAAUUUCAGCUGCGUCAACGCCCCAGCGAGCCACGGGCCCACUAAAUGAGUUUUUCUUUUCUAUGCGUAGUACCGGCUCCAUUUAGAGACUCACGUGCCGCGGCGCGGAGGGCACAUCGGCGUGACCGACUGGCCGGCUGCCGGAGCCGAGAGCCGCCGCGUCCAUCCCCGCCCGUCUUGCCGGGGACCCGGAUUGAGUCGUCAAGCCGCGCCCUUCGCCCCUUGCCCCAGCAGGCGCCGGGCGGGCGAGCAGCGCUUCGGCCCUUCCCGGACAGCGACGCAGUCACAGCCGGCGCCCAAACACAGAUGUGGGAAGAUAAAUGAAGGGGUCUAGACGGAAAUGUCAGUGGAAAGGAGAGCUACCAUCACUCAGGGCUGAAAACACAGUUAAAUCACUGUCAAAAGGCUAUUAAGUACACAAGAUGGGGACUCCUGGUUCUGGAAGGAAAAGAACACCUGUGAAAGACCGAUUUUCUGCAGAAGAUGAAACUUUGAGUAACAUUGCCAGAGAGUUGGAUGAAAAAUCUGACAAACAGUAUGCUGAAAAUUAUACACGACCUUCAUCUCGAAAUUCUGCCUCAGCAACAACCCCUCUAAGUGAAAACUCAUCCAGACGACGAAGUGGGGACACCAGCAGCUUAACAGAUCCAGACACCUCAUUAAGUGAAUUACAGGAAUCUUUGUCUGAAGUGGAAGAAAAAUACAAGAAAGCCAUGGUUUCCAAUGCACAGUUAGACAAUGAGAAGAACAAUCUGAUCUACCAGGUAUAUACACUCAAGGAUGUUAUUGAAGAGCAGGAGGAACAGAUGGCAGAGUUUUAUAGAGAAAAUGAAAAAUCAAAGGAGUUGGAAAGGCAGAAACAUAUGUGUAGUGUGCUGCAGCAUAAGAUGGAAGAACUUAAAGAAGGCCUUCGGCAAAGAGAUGAGCUUAUUGAGAAGCAUGGCUUGGUUAUAAUCCCCGAUGGCACUCCCAGUGGUGAUGUCAGUCAUGAACCAGUGGUUGGAGCCAUCACUGUUGUGUCUCAGGAAGCUGCUCAGGUCUUGGAGUCAGCAGGAGAAGGGCCGCUAGAUGUAAGGCUAUGAAAACUUGCUGGAGAAAAGGAAGAACUGCUGUCAUAGAUUAGAAAACUGAAGCUUCAGUUAGAAGAGGAACGACAGAAAUGCUCCAGGAAUGAUGGCACAGUGGGUGACCUGGCAGGACUGCAGAAUGGCUCAGACUUGCAGUUCAUCGAAAUGCAGAGAGAUGCCAACAGACAAAUUAGCGAAUACAAAUUUAAGCUUUCAAAAGCAGAACAGGAUAUAACCACCUUGGAGCAAAGUAUUGGCCGGCUUGAGGGACAGGUUACAAGAUGUAAAACUGCUGCUGAGAAUGCUGAGAAAGUUGAAGAUGAACUGAAAGCAGAAAAAAGGAAGCUACAACGAGAGUUACGAACAGCACUGGACAAGAUUGAGAAGAUGGAGAUGACCAACAGCCACCUGGCCAAGCGGCUGGAGAAGAUGAAGACCAAUAGGACAGCACUUCUGGCCCAGCAGUAGGAAGACCGCCCUUCGGCCUGGGUGCUGCUCCUUGGGGCCCUACCUAGAGGAACUGACUUUUUUGUCCAUUGACACAAACCCCUUUUAGUAGUGUUUUGAGUUUUGUCGUUAAAACAGCCACCUUUGUAUUUUGUAAUUUAUGAGCGAAUGAAGCCGGUUUGAAUCUUCGUGAAUGAAAAAAAAAUGAUUUUAAGACAAAAAAAAAAAUUUAUUGCCAUAAAUUAAUCCAGUAGGUAUAUCUAAGAAAGCACGCAUCAGUUGGUUAGGGCAAUAAGCGCCUCUACCACAUUGCCCAUGUGUCCCGCAAGCUGCGUUCUGCUGCUGCUCGAGGUAUCUCCAUCUCAGUCAUUAUCAGUUCCAGAUCUUCCUUCUUGAUAGUGACUUUUGCCAGUUCUUUCUCCCGCUCCUGUUUGGCUUUCUGCUCCCGGGACCUUCUGUCUCCAAUCACAGACAUGGCCGUCUCCAGACGGUACUUACAUAGUACCUAAGUAAGUGCAACACCAGGCUGUGUCUUUCUAUCACGGAUUUCCACCUGGACACGUGGAACCCAGCCUGGCCUGUCUGCACAAUCCUGACUGGACUCCUGAGCUUCAUGGUGGAGAAGGGCCCUACCCUGGGCAGCAUAGAGACGUCAGACUUCACGAAAUGACAGCUAGCAGCACAGAGUUCAGCCUUUAAUUUAAAAGAUAAAGUCUUUUGUGAAUUAUUUCCUGAAGUUGUGGAGGAAAUUAAACAAAAACAGCACAAGACGAACUCAGUAGCAGACCCCAGACUCUCCCCUUGCCAGACGUGGUUCCAGACAGGGAGACACACCUUGUCCAGAACGGGAUUCAGCUUCUCGACGGGCACGCGCCAGGGGCCAUCCCAAACCUCCCGGGGCUCCUGCAGGCCAACGGGCACCGCGGACUCCUGGGCGGCGACCUGGCGAACUUGUUUGUUGUAGUCGGGUUUGCAGCCUUCGCCUACACCAUCAAGUACGUGCUGAGGAGCAUCGCGCAGGAGUGAGGCCUGGCACCGAGACCAAGGCGCCACGGAGGGCGCGUGGCACGAGCGUGACCUGGGCCGGCCGGACACGUGCCCAGCACAGGCAGACCCACCAGGCUCCUGGGUUUCGGUUUUAAAAACCUAGAAGGGAAAGCAAAAGCCAAAAUGUGUGACUGGGCUUCGGAGGAGACUGGAGACUCAGCCCUGCCCUGGCCACGUGCCGCCCGAGCUGGCGUGGAGGGGCUGCUGGCGUGCUGGUUUUGUAGCUUAUCUUCUGUGUUGUCUUUGGAUCUGUUUUAGUGAACCCGUUUUUCAUUU